rnacentral:rRNA from 1 species
CGGACAGAAGGGAGCUUGCUCCCGGAUGUUAGCGGCGGACGGGUGAGUAACACGUGGGUAACCUGCCUGUAAGACUGGGAUAACUCCGGGAAACCGGAGCUAAUACCGGAUAGUUCCUUGAACCGCAUGGUUCAAGGAUGAAAGACGGUUUCGGCUGUCACUUACAGAUGGACCCGCGGCGCAUUAGCUAGUUGGUGGGGUAAUGGCUCACCAAGGCGACGAUGCGUAGCCGACCUGAGAGGGUGAUCGGCCACACUGGGACUGAGACACGGCCCAGACUCCUACGGGAGGCAGCAGUAGGGAAUCUUCCGCAAUGGACGAAAGUCUGACGGAGCAACGCCGCGUGAGUGAUGAAGGUUUUCGGAUCGUAAAGCUCUGUUGUUAGGGAAGAACAAGUGCGAGAGUAACUGCUCGCACCUUGACGGUACCUAACCAGAAAGCCACGGCUAACUACGUGCCAGCAGCCGCGGUAAUACGUAGGUGGCAAGCGUUGUCCGGAAUUAUUGGGCGUAAAGGGCUCGCAGGCG